UACGUAGGGGCCUAGCGUUGUCCGGAUUUAUUGGGCGUAAAGAGCUCGUAGGCGGUUCGGCAAGUCGGAUGUGAAAUCUCCACGCUUAACGUGGAGGGGCCAUUCGAAACUGCCGUGACUCGAGUCCGGUAGGGGAGUGUGGAAUUCCCGGUGUAGCGGUGGAAUGCGCAGAUAUCAGGAGGAACACCAAUAGCGAAGGCAGCUCGCUGGGACGGUAUUGACGCUAAGGCGCGAAAGCGUGGGGAGCAAACAGG
rnacentral:rRNA from 1 species